CUUCACCGACCCCAGCCACAACGGCCGGUCAUCCGGCCGGUCCUGACCGUACGUCGCCAGCACCGCCUGCGCCUC
rfam:Streptomyces violaceusniger Tu 4113, complete genome.